GGUCAAGCUACAAAGGGCGCAUGGUGAAUGCCUUGGCAUCAGGAGCCGAUGAAGGACGUGAUAAGCUGCGAUAAGCUUCGGGUAGGCGCACAUAGCCUGAGAUCCGAAGAUCUCCGAAUGAGGAAACUCACAUGGGAAACCCCAUGUAUCAUUAAGUGAAUACAUAGCUUAAUGAAGGUAACCCAGGGAACUGAAACAUCUAAGUACCUGGAGGAAGAGAAAGAAAAAUCGAUUUUCUUAGUAGCGGCGAGCGAAAGGGAAAGAGCCCAAACCGGAAACUUGUUUCCGGGGUUGUGGACAUAACAUAAAAGUGGAGGCUAUUGUAACUGAAGAGAACUGGAAAGUUCCACCGUAGAAGGUAAUAGUCCUGUAAGUGAAACGAGAAGACCACGAGUUAUGAUCCAGAGUACCACGAGACACGUGAAACCUUGUGGGAAGCAGGGAGGACCACCUCCCAAGGCUAAAUACUACCUGAUGACCGAUAGUGAAGCAGUACCGUGAGGGAAAGGUGAAAAGAACCCCGGGAGGGGAGUGAAAUAGAACCUGAAACCGUGUGCCUACAACCGCUCAGAGCCCCUUAUGAGGGUGAUGAGGUGCUUUUUGUAGAACGAGCCAACGAGUUACGGUAUGUAGCAAGGUUAAGUACUUAAGGUACGGAGCCGAAGGGAAACCGAGUCUGAAUAGGGCGACUAGUUGCAUGCCGUAGACCCGAAACCGGGUGACCUAUCCAUGGCCAGGUUGAAGCGAGGGUAAAACCUCGUGGAGGACCGAACCACGUUGCUGUUGAAAAAGCAUGGGAUGAGCUGUGGAUAGCGGAGAAAUUCCAAUCGAACCCGGAGAUAGCUGGUUCUCUCCGAAAUAGCUUUAGGGCUAGCGUCGAGUAUGAGUAGUGGAGGUAGAGCACUGAAUGGGCUAGGGGGCAUAGCGCUUACCGAACCUUAUCAAACUCCGAAUGCCACAUACUUUGAGCUCGGCAGUCAGACUACGAAUGAUAAGAUCCGUGGUCAAAAGGGAAACAGCCCAGAUCGUCAGCUAAGGUCCCAAAGUGUAAGUUAAGUGGGAAAGGAUGUGAGAUUUCUAAGACAACUAGGAUGUUGGCUUAGAAGCAGCCAUUCAUUAAAAGAGUGCGUAAUAGCUCACUAGUCGAGAGAUCUUGCGCCGAAAAUGUAACGGGGCUAAACUUACCACCGAAGCUACGGGCUUGAAUUUAGUUCAAGCGGUAGGAGAGCGUCGUAACCGGGCUGAAGUCGUACCGUAAGGAGCGGUGGACUGGUUACGAGUGAGAAUGUUGGCAUCAGUAGCGAGAUGUGGGUGAGAAUCCCACAGGCCGAAAACCUAAGGUUUCCUCAGGAAGGUUCGUCCGCUGAGGGUUAGUCGGGACCUAAGCCGAGGCCGAAAGGCGUAGGUGAUGGACAACUGGUUGAUAUUCCAGUACCACUACCAUCGUUAUUAUCGAUGGCGUGACGCAGGAGGAUAGUGUGUGCUAGCUAUUGGAUGCUAGUCUAAGCGUUUAGGCAGUGAGAGUAGGCAAAUCCGCUCUCAUAAUGCUGAGGCGUGAUGGGGAAGGUUCUACGGAACCGAAGUACAUGAUUCCACGCUGCCAAGAAAAGCGUCUAGAGAGAGAAGUAGUGCCCGUACCGCAAACCGACACAGGUAGGUGAGGAGAGAAUCCUAAGGCCGGCGGAAGAAUUACAGUUAAGGAACUCGGCAAAUUGACCCCGUAAGUUCGCGAGAAGGGGUGCCUACGAGAGUAGGCCGCAGAGAAUAGGCCCAAGCAACUGUUUAGCAAAAACACAGGUCUCUGCUAAAGCGUAAGCUGAUGUAUAGGGGCUGACGCCUGCCCGGUGCUGGAAGGUUAAGGGGAACACUUAGCGCAAGCGAAGGUGUGAACUUAAGCCCCAGUAAACGGCGGCCGUAACUAUAACGGUCCUAAGGUAGCGAAAUUCCUUGUCAGGUAAGUUCUGACCCGCACGAAUGGCGUAAUGACUUGGGCACUGUCUCAACUGUAAAUCCGGCGAAGUUGUAGUGCGAGUGAAGAUGCUCGCUACCCGCGAUUGGACGGAAAGACCCCGUAGAGCUUUACUGUAGCUUAGCAUUGAGUUUUGGUAUUGUCUGUACAGGAUAGGUGGGAGACUAGGAAACCAGGGCGUCAGCCUUGGUGGAGUCAACCUUGGGAUACCACCCUGACAGUACUGAAAUUCUAACUGGCGGCCAUGAAUCUGGUCACAGGACAUUGUUAGGUGGGCAGUUUGACUGGGGCGGUCGCCUCCUAAAAAGUAACGGAGGCGCCCAAAGGUUCCCUCAGAACGGUCGGAAAUCGUUCGAAGAGUGCAAAGGCAGAAGGGAGCCUGACUGCGACACCCACAAGUGGAGCAGGGACGAAAGUCGGGCUUAGUGAUCCGGUGGUACCUCGUGGGAGGGCCAUCGCUCAACGGAUAAAAGCUACCUCGGGGAUAACAGGCUGAUCUCCCCCAAGAGUCCACAUCGACGGGGAGGUUUGGCACCUCGAUGUCGGCUCGUCGCAUCCUGGGGCUGAAGUAGGUCCCAAGGGUUGGGCUGUUCGCCCAUUAAAGCGGCACGCGAGCUGGGUUCAGAACGUCGUGAGACAGUUCGGUCCCUAUCCGUCGCGGGCGUAGGAAAUUUGAGAGGAGCUGUCCUUAGUACGAGAGGACCGGGAUGGACUGACCUCUGGUGUACCAGUUGUUCCGCCAGGAGCACAGCUGGGUAGCUAAGUCGGGAAUGGAUAAACGCUGAAAGCAUCUAAGCGUGAAGCCAACCUCAAGAUGAGAUUUCCCAUAGCGUAAGCUAGUAAGAUCCCUUGAAGAACACAAGGUUGAUAGGUCGGGGGUGUAAGCAUGGUAACAUGUUCAGCUGACCGAUACUAAUAGAUCGAGGGCUUGACCAA
rnacentral:rRNA from 1 species